rnacentral:lncRNA from 14 species
CUAUCAAGUGCACAGCACACAUGCAGGCUCCAGAGAAACAGCCAGGCCUGCGCUGCUCUCAGCCUGCCUUCGGGGGCACACAGCCUCGUGAUGGAGUGGCACUGUCAAGUGCAAAAGAAACAAACUAAACCUGUGUACCAGACAGUCUGAUAGAGAAAAAUAGAACCACAGAGGCGGCAGCAGUGAUGAAGAGGAAACACUCAAUCAGACGGACAAAAUAGACUGAAAUCUUUACUAGAGAUCCUAAUUGCCUUUCAAGAUAAUUAUCUUCAACCA